UUCAUGAUUUUUAAUUUAUGUUUCAUACCUAAAUUGAUAUACGCUAAUUAUACACGUAGCGAAUGUAUUAGAAACUACUUUGACGUAAAUACGAAUUUCGCGAGUUUCUUUUAUCAAAAGAACAUUUAACUAAUAUGACCUCUUUCAACGUAGAAACACAAUUUUGUACUUGCGAAAAGAUAUGAAACCCACAUCAAUUUUGAGACAUUUUCAACAAAAAUUAUCGAACUAAUUUCAACGCGGUUCUAACGAGCUCCGUUAAUAACAACGCCAGAGACGCUGUAUUCUUUCAGCCUUAAAUGUCUUAAAUAACGACGUAGAAAAUUUUAAAUAAAUUUACGAUGAGACACCGCACGACUUCUGAAAUUAGCUCCCUAACAGUAAUUAGCUUUAAACAAAAAGAGUUUCUAUGCCAAGUAAUCGUGCGAGCUCGAAGUAAAGAAAAACACAAAGUACAUACAACAUGGUAUAAUAAAACUUCAUUUUAAUAUAUUUUCUUAUUUUUAAAUGUUGAUUCAGUUAGCAAUUCUUUAUAAAAAAUAGGUUAUUCGAUUAAGUUAUACGAUUAGUUUUCAAUAUUAAAAUUAUAUUGCAAUUGGAAUUAAUUUUAUAUUAAUUUCCAAAUAAAUUUUAUAAUAUUUAUUGAGUUUGUAGUUAUCUGUAAACGGUCCAUAAAUCAAUUAAUAUUUUCAAUAUUAAGAUUAUACAAAAUAUUAUGUUGAAUUACUUUGUUUCCAGUUAAUGAAUUUAUUACUAUCAAAAUUUUUAGGAAGUACAUUGAAUAUUGUAAAUUUAUCUUGGGUAUAUUUGUACGUAUCUACUUUUUAUAGAUAAAUGAGCUUUUAAUUAUUUAUAAAACAUCAAUUAAUUCAUUAAUUUUGCAGAACUAAAUUUAUUCUGAAUAUUCUAUUGAAAUCUCUUGUUGUUAAUUGUGUAAUAUAUAAUAAAUGAGAGCUAAAUAUGUGUUUGGGUGUAUCUUGUUUAAUAAAAUAUUUUUAUUGCUUUCUAAAAUAUGAAUUGUGCAUUAUGUUUCAUAUUUUACAUAGAAUUGUACAACGUAUUUGCUUUGAUUUAUAUGCUACUGUACGCAUAUUAUAUAUCAAUAAAUUCAUGUAUGCAGUUGUAACGAUAAUAAUAGCAUCAAAAUUACGUAUAAUACAAUUCACAUGCAUAAUAUCACUAGAGGAAAAAUGUAGAAGCUUAACGGUGAAUAGUACGAAGUUAAAACAUAUUAACGUUCUAUUAAUUAUUAUGUGGUUUUGGUUACAAAAACUCAUAAAAAAAAAAAAAAUAAAUGGAAUUUCGUUCGUAUUCAUUAUACAAUUGUAAAGAGAUAUUAUAUAUCUUGAUACAAAAUGUCUGAACCGUCCGAACAGAGAUUUCAUCCGUUAUGACCUAACAUUUUCACUGAGCCCAUUCAAGAAAUCAUAGUUCAAAAACUUAUCCCCUCUAUGUAGAAAAAAAGGAAAAUGCAAGAAAACAUAGACAAUGAAAAAAUAUAAAGAGUAAAGAGAGGGUAAUUGUACGAAAUAGACGGUGGAAACUGACAUCACGAAACAUCAGUGAACUUGUUUGUUUCCUAUUAUUCGAAGGCAACACUCGUCUGUCUAUGAACCUCUAUAACGUUAGAAUAACGGGGUAUAGAGUAGCCAUAAAUGUAAAUAGGUUCCGAAGUCACUGUCAACAAUUACUAGCCGAUCUCAUUUUGCUGUGUCACGCACGGUACACGAACCGGCUGCGUGUAUGCAUAUUGGGAUGGUUAUGUACCAUCCAGGAACAGAAAUCCAUAGUUCAAGCUAUUGGCUUAUUGCGAACUUCCUCUAUAUUCGAUGGAAUUGAUACUAACGGAAUGGUUUUAUUAUUCAUUUGUUUUCUUUACAUAAUUCAUUCUUCGAUUAAAUAAAAAUUGUGCGAAUAAUUUUGUGAUUCGCUAUACAUACGCAACUAUAAUUGUAAUUCAUUUGCUUUUUAUACCUAUAAUUAAAUUUUCAUAAUUGCUAAUAUUAUAUUGAAUUCUUAUAUACAACGCACUGAAAGUAUAAAAUAAUUGUUUAUUUACAAUAAAACAUAAAGAUAUUUCCUUCAUUAUUAGUUUUGUAAUAGUUUAAUAAAUAUAAUAUAUUUGCUAUAUUAAAUUGUUAUUUCACAUCAAUAUUUUACAUAAUUGAAAUGAUAUAGAUUUAAAUAUUUAAAUAAAAUACUUCAAAUAUAAUUAUUUAUUUAUUUCUUUGUUGAACAUUUGAAACCUCAAGAGGUUUAUAGAAAAUGAUAACUGUUUAUGUUCCAUGUUAUGCCUUUAACUCGUAGCUAUUUUAGCAUAAUUGAAUACGAUACGCAACUUUAGCAAUGUAACUUACUAUUAAGUGCGAUAUUAUAAAAUAUUCAAUUUUUUUAUUUCAUAUCUGACCUCGUCUGACUUUGGUGGUCAUAAUGUACAUGUUUAAAUUCGUCUGGACAGCUGCUUUCAUAACAUACAAGAAGUAUUCUAUUUAGAAAACAUGAAUGUCGUCUUCAUAUCUCAAGAAACAUUGUAAAAAUAAAAAAUUUGCGUACGCUGUCAUGUUCCCCAUAAAAAACAUUGAAAAUUUCCCCUUUUUCACUUUUAUCGAAUGCUUGCCAUUUUUCGAGAAAAAUUCUGGUACAGUAUACUACGAGCAGUUUGUAUAAUAACAACUUUAACUUGGGACUAAUACUUAUUAUCUAACAGCGAACAACUUUACAUUUCAUCAAAUUAUUUAAAAAUUACAAACAUCUGUUAUUAUAAUGACAAGUAUAAAUGUGCAAUACGAAUAUUUUAACACUGAAAAUCGCUCAUAUGUAGGUAUAGAAAAUUUGUGAAAUAAGACUUCUCUGAAUUUCUAUAAUUAAUAUUUGACAAAAGUUACAUUCCAUUUCAUAAUUCUAAAUAUAACAUACAACUACCAUGGACAGUAAUAGCUUUAAUGAUCAUGAAUAGUAAUCAUUUUAAAUUAUAUAUUGUAAGUAAUGAUAAAUUCAACUCAUUCAGAUCGUUCAUCAAUUCGUAUCAUUAAUAACGUAAUUAAUGAUUUAAUAAGUAAUGUUAUAGUAUAAUACACUACUGAAAUCAGUUAUAAUAUUGAUAUUAUGAACGGCCCAAUUGUACUAAUUAACUGAACAAAAGCGACGAGAUCCUAUAAGGCUUAGUAGAUUAAAUAAAGAUACAUUUAUAACCUUUAUGACAAUUAAAAAAAGAAUACAAGCACAAAAGGUGGGUAUAAAACCAAAAUGACAUGAGAAGUGUCUCUCUGACUAUUUUUGGCAAUAUAAUAAUAAGUAUAUAAGCAAUGAAGGAAAGAAAGUUAAAUGAAUAUAAUUUAUUAUAGAGAGUAAAAUAAAGUGACUCCAUGCAACUGAUUCUUUUUUUUUUAUUAUUUAAUUCUUUACAUUCACAAUUUGUCCAAUUUGGAUAUUUGGUAGAAUUUUUUAGCUGUUUGAUUAUCAUGUGAAUGGCUACCCCCAGCGGGAUACCAUUUUCGUGUUUGUUAGGUUGUGUCCUUUGUGAUCAACUGAUUCUUGUUCAUACUUUUUCUUUUUCAACCUUGACCUUCAUACAACUUUCCUUCAUCUUUUAUUCUAAAGCAUAUAUGUAUGCUUCCUUUUCGUCUUAAUUACUGGUGCAAUUAUCUCUGUUGUUUGAGCAUUGCAGUAAAGGAAAAACUGCUGAAUAAAUCACAUAAAUUGUACAUUUAUUGCCUUUAUGAAUGAUGAAUAUCCUGACCUUUUUAUAACACUACGUGACACUAGACCAGGCUUUGUAUAGUAGUUUAACUAGAAAUAUCGCUUGUUUAAUGUUCAGUGAAAAAUGUUUACAACUGAAAAUACACCAAGGACACUUGCUUUCAAUACAUCCAUUGAUUUUAACAACAGAAUAAUUUGAAUUAUGUUCCAGUGUUUAUGCCACAAUGUUCGAUUUAUAGUAUUACAAUCAACUUGUUAUUUCUAUUCUUAGAUAUUUCAAAUGUUACAACAUGCAAGUUGUACUAAAAACUUUUUUUCGAUAAUUUGUUGAUCUAUUAUUAAAUUUAAAUUUAAAAAAAUAUGAAGUAUUACAAAAUUCUAUUAUUGGUGCACAAUUACAUUUUUUAUAUUCAUAGUAUUAAUUACAAUAUUGUAAAAUGUGCAAAUAAACGUAUUAUUAAAAAUUAUUCUUGUCACUAGCAAAGUGAGUUUUCCACAUUACUAUUUUUUUAUCUUUGUGCGUCGACAUGCGCAAUAGCAGGUUUUCUUAUCAGAUUAAUACCAUUCGCUCAGCAACUGCCACGCUUGUUUAUCAUAGUAAAAAGACGUUGAGUGUGAAUAGUAGCUGGAACUCGCGACAUCGUCAUCGUAACACGGGAGAACUCACAUGAAUUUAGCUUCACGAUGCUAAAAUCACUCAUUCACAACCACUCACAAUCAUUUGCAAUAGAAAUCAAUAGCAUUUGUACUGUAGUAGUAACCGUGCAUGGAUUGGAAAUCAAGUUGUGUUAAUUCGAAUUAGGUCGCAUUUAUUCUCAUUGUUCAAUUUCUUGAGGUCCUCAGGUUGAAGAGUAACCGUAGUAAAAUAUAACCUGCAUCCAUCUGAAGGAAAUGUAUUUUAUAACGGUGAAAGAAUUAUCCAAAUUGGUUGAAUAGUUUCUGAGAUUAUCUUGAACACACAUAUACAUACAUAGGCACGGAUCUCCCCUCUCUACAAUAUUAGUAGUGGAAGACGAGAGAAACACGAACAUUGAAAAUAAAAUUUAAAUAAAAACCAAAUUACAGGUAAUGAUCACUUUUUAGUGUUUAAAUAUUUCUCUUUGGAUCUUCUACAAACAAGGUAAAAUAACAAAUUAUAGAAAUUAUCAUAAAAACAUAGAACUUUUACACGAUAACAGAGACGUUACUGUCCAUAAUCGUCGAAAGCCUUUCGAAUAAUUGCAGUCGGUUAUUUGGGUAAUUACGGACAAUACGAAGUAAUUAAAAAUGAGGUUCACUUAUUAUCAUAAAUAUCACUAAUAUUUGUAGAACUGGCGCCAGUGCAGUCUUUAUAUGUCUAUUUUAAAUAUGGGAUGCAUAUUAUUCAAUCCUCCCUUGGAGGGGAAAUAUAUUUCAUUCAUUGCAAAAUAUGCAGAAAUAUUCCUCUUUUUUCAUUGUUUUUCUCUAUAUCCUUCAAAUUUUUCACAACCUUCUUUCUGUUAGUCUUUGGUUUCUACCCUAUUGGUUUAUUUUCUCUCUUUUUAGCUUGAUUUAUUACAUAUUUCUUUUUCUUCCUUCUCUUUUAUAAUUUUUAUUGGAUGGAUUUUGUUGGCAUUAAAAUUUCUAAGUGCUUCUUCCUUCUAAAUACUUUUUUGGUUUCUAUUACAGGAGUAUCCAUUAUAUCUUUCAACGCAAUAGUCUUGCCUCGUUUAUUUUGAUCGAAACAGAAUUAUUUUAACUACUAUCAUUGCAAUGUCUACUAUCAGCUGACUAUCGAAUUUAUUUAAGAUAUAAGUGACUGCUGAAAUAAAAUCUGACAUUAUUUCUUUAAAUUUAGAAUUCGUUGUGUCGGAAACCAGCUCCCUAGAUUUGUCACCGCCAAAUGAAUAAUUUAUAUAAAUUUCCGCAUAAAUAAUGGGGCAAAACCAAAUAUCAGCUAUUAUAUGCAAUAUGCAAAUUGACAUAACUUAAAAAAGAACGAUUGGCUCAAAAAAUAUUCUUGAAAACAUAAAAAAAGUACAUAUAACAUUAUUUUAAAUCAAAUAAUAACGUAUUGAAACUAAAUUUGGCACGAUAUUUUUGCUUACAAAGUUAUAAUACGAAAAUACAAUAACAAAAGUAUUUUUAAAAAAUUUCCGAAUAUAUAUUUCGUGACUUACCUUGAAAUCUACACAUAACCUAUCACCGAGAAUAUUUUUCUAGUACUGAAUGAAUUGGGUUAGUUCGCGAGCUACAACGGCGAAGAGAGAUCGCGAAUAUCAUUUAGGGGACGCCCUGAUUUAUUCGACGUCUUUUAUCAUUUGUAACUUGUCAUAGAAAUAUGUCCACAAAAGUUUAGUCGCGAACUAGACGAGCUAAUUUCGUAAUUUAUGUGCUGAAUAUAUUAUAAAAUUAAUAAUAACAUAAGUGUGCGUAAUACACACAUUCUAAUAGAUAUGAAAUAAUGCGUUACUUUAGAUACGAUUGAGUCUUUAAAUAGUUAAUACUUUCGUUUAAUUCAUAUAAAUACAAAUAAUUUUAUUUUUAAUGUAUUGUACAAUUAUAACAAUCACAUAUUCAGUUAAGAUAUAACAUCCUUAUACGUAUUACAAUAAUUAACAAUUACUUCGUUGUACGAAAUAAUUAGUAUUUGUUUUUAGUGUAUUCGCUUAAUAAAUGAAAUUUCUGCCUCAAUUUCUUAAUUUUAUAUUUUUAUGACAAUUGAAUGCAAGAUUUCACGUGAAAUUUUUCAGACCUCUUGACGAAGUUUAAUAUUACUAAUAUUGUAAUCUAAACAGUUGAUUAAAAUUAUAUUUUGAAUUAGAAAAUAUUCAACGGAUUUAAUACAUGUCACACACAAAUUAUUUUUACAUUAAUUACUUCUAAAAUUCCUGUACGCUGUCCAUUUAAAUACAGUACCAACUUUGAAAUAAAGAUUGUUGAAUAAACAAUGUACAAAUAUCAUUAUGGCAAUAAAUAAAGCUUUUGUAAUCGUUUUGUUUCUUUGCAAAAUGUUCGUUUAUUAUUAAAUAGUCUGGAACAUGUCUGGAAAACAUUAAUUACUUGUUUACUCGAUUAUUAUUUGCUAUCAAACGCAAAUACUAGCAACAUAAUUUUUAUUGGGUCUCACUGACAUUUCAGUGAAUUACAUAACUAUCCAUUGAAAUAGACCUUCAAUUGUUAUUGAAAUAAAUAUAAGACAAUUCACAUCGAGCUGCUGAGCUGUCCAGACAUAUUUACAUUGCUAAUCUAAAUCUUAACGUCAGGGUUAGUAGCAGCGCGGUCAUGCCACCUGCGGAGGCAGGGUAUGAUCCACUGCUGCAGUAAAUAAAUCCAAGCCAGGAGCGAAGAUGGUAGACACAUAUUUCUGAGCACAGAAGUUUUGGAACUAACGUCACCAAUGUUGAAUCUAACUAAAGUCACUACAAUCGAAAAUACUCAGAACAAUAGUCAACGCUCCAUAGUAUGUCAGAAACGAGGAUAUACGCAAAGACCUACAAAUACCAAUGGUCAAAGAAGAAAUCGGCAGAUACGUAAAAAGAUACAAAAAAAAAAAAAAAACAUGGCAACACAUCCAAGCCAGCUGGCUGCUGAAAUGAGCAAAACCCGUAUAAAAAAAAAGAUUAAAAAGUAAACAUCCCACUGACCUUGCUAAAGAAAUAAAAUAGGCAAAUUCGAAAAUGGUAACCCGCUGGAGGUAGCCAUCCACAUGCUAUUUAGCAAUAAGGUUAGAAAAAUUUACCAAAUGUCCCGCUGGACAAAUUGUAAAGCACAAAUUAAAAAAUAAACAAUGUUGGAUCCAAGAUAUAUAUGUCGGAGAUGAGGGGACAUCGGGGCCUUUCUUUUGGAAUUUUUGGGAAGGUCCACAAUACUUUAGUCUAGACUAUUUAUUAUAGCUCUACUUAAAUGAUAAAAUUUUGAAAUAGUUGUUAUGAUUCGAUAGUUGUUAUGAUAUGAGAUUUGUGACGGUGGGCUUGGGCUCGAGGUGACGCAACUGGUCGCCGAACGUAGCCACGGUCACGGGAUGAACGUUUUUACCUAACAGAGAAGUGUCAAUAUUGUGGGACACACGUUGUAUUAACAAUCAAACCCCGGGCAGGAGCAAUGUCAGCUCUACGCGGGUCUGCCUAGCAACGGCGGCUGGAAUUUUAUUGGUAUCCCCGGCCAAUAUGCAACGAACAAACGCGAUCGUAAGGAAAGGAAAAUUUCCAUCAAUCUUUUAUUCUUGCGAUCAGCUUGGAGAAUUUGUACAUCGUCUUUACGUGCAUUAUUAUACCGAGCGUCACAGCAAACGUUGCUUUGUGCUUCAAAAUAUAUUCUAUGUUUAACAAAGAGUUACCCUGUUGACCGUGGAUUUGUUAUUGAACCUAAGAACAUUGCCACUAACUCUCGAGUGUUUAACCACCAUGGUUAUUUGUCAAACUUUGUAAAAAUCAAUAUUUAUAUCAGUAAAUAUAAUCUCUAUUGUGCAACAACGAUGGCUAGUCCGAAUGAAGAUUCGUUACACGCCCAUAAACCUAAAGUUAACCCGACAUAUAUAUAUAUAUAAAGGGAGAGGAAGAAAGAGUUUGUGGAAUUCCCUAGAGUGGGAAAAAAUAUUAUAGAAGGCGUUAAAAGGCUGACGUUGUUGUAAGUGCCUCUGGUUUUUAUCUCGACCAGGAGUUGUACCACAUAUAUCCAAGUCAAAGGCGUCUGUUCUUAAGCAAUAGUUGUAAAAACGACCUUGACUACGUAACGGCUUGACACGACACAACAUGUGGCUCCCAAAUUCAAGGAAAGGCCAGAAUACAACACCGAAAAUACAGAGAUUCUUGAAAAGUCUAACCCAGUACCAACUUACGCAUGGGUAAUAAUAAGUAACACACAAUGAAGUAAAAAAGCAGUUAUUUUAGCUGAAUCUCCAAAGUUUGCAUCUGUAUAUACCUUGACAGUCAACAGAUCUAUCAACUCCUGUCAAGUAGGCAACAGAAUCGGAAUUCCUAGUGUAAAAACUACUCCGCAUCACCCUCCCGAUGAUGUCGCUAGUAACCAUACUAAUGCUAUUUACAUCAAAUAUUAAUAGAAAAAGAAUAUAUAUAUGUAGUUUACAGAAAGUCAUUUAUUUACCAUAUGAUAUACAUAAAAACUUACAUUAAUUCUGUAUCUUCUGUAUAUAAUAAAUCUAGCAAAAUAUUCAUUCAUUCAUUACAUAUAAUUCUACCAAAUGUCCAAAUCGGACAAAUUGUGAAUGUAAAUAACUAAAUAAAAAAAAAAAUUCAUUACAUAUAGAUAUCUGCAAAUAUUCAUUGGAAUAAAUACAGCGGAAGAAAACUUUACCAAUUCCAAUAAAGUUUAAGAUAAAAUAAUUGAUGGUGAGUUAGACACAACAGGUAGAAAAAUCCUAUUUAUAUACAGGGUGGUUGGUAACUGGUGGUACAAGCGGAAAGGAGGUGAUUCUACGCGAAAAAAGAAGUGGAAAAUAUGGAAUAAACAUUUUUUUUAAUUUUUUUUUUAAUUUUUCCAUCGAGACAACGAUCUACAGUGAGAUCCGUUAUAACGUACCGCACGCGUACUGAGCGAAAAUUCAAAGUCGAUUUUCUCGAAAAAAAGUCUCAAACGAAAAAUUUUUAUUCUAUAUUUUCGACUUCUUUUUUCGCGUAGAAUCACCCCCUUUCCGCUUGUACCACUAGUUACCAACCACCUUGUAUAUCCUAUUUGUUCUAUUUAUCCCGAAAUCCUAUUUAUAUAUAUUUUCAUCCUAAGCUUCAAUAUAAGUUCAAUAUACAAUGUUUUAUAAAGCCAAAUAAAUGGCGCAUUAAUCUUUCAAGAAAAACGUAAUUCAUUCAAUUUUCCCUCUUUUUUUCGUUGUGUGAUUUAUAUUCACGUUGUGCUCGUAAUACAUGUACUUCGUUACUAAAUGACAUGAAAUGAAAGUACGGCAUUACCAUAAGCUCGAGCUAUCGCAGUUUAAUAACUUAAUUUGGAGAACGACUUGGUAGUUGGAAAUUUUGCGCAAAACCAAAAAUUAGAACUUAAACGUAUUCGGAUAAACGUUUUAUAACGUAACUUUAAUGAGUUAUUUCCACAAUAUUUAUUAAUAUAUCAUAUGCUAGUACAUCUAUUUUUUUUCUUUUUUUAUUAUUUAAUUUAUACUUUACAAUUUGUCCAGCUAGACAUUUGGUAAAUUAUACAUCUAUUUGAAUCAUAUAGAUUACAGUUAAUGUUGAUAUGGGGAUUAAUUUAAUAUAUAUAUAUAUAUUAAUUCUACUUCAUCUAUUUUAUGUAUCUAUUUUUGAUCGUACAAAUUUUUCAAGUAAAGUGAUUAAUUUUAAAAUUAAUUUAUUUAUGAAUUAAAUUAGUUCUAUGAUAAUAAAUCCUAGUGAUCUUUACAAGAAAGAGAUUUUAGAAUUUAUAACACGAAAGUUUCAAAUACUUCGUUCACGUUGUUUAAUUCAUUGCAAUUGAAAAUAAGAUUUAUUGUCGUCGAUGAAUUUAUUCCAGUAUUUUAUGAGCAGCUAAUAUUUAUUCCUAAAUUAGUAUUUGUAAAUAAUUCACUACGUACACGCCUAUUACUACACUAGUAUGAACUUUAUAAAAUUAAAUAAAAUUAACUUAAAUAAAAAUCGGAUAAAAUUAUAUCUUAAGCGUAAUGCAUAUCAAGAAAGAUUUACAUUUUGCGUUUUCAAUACAGCAUUUUUUCUAUUAAAUAAAAAGUGUUCGUAUACUUUUAUCAUCUUUUUAACAUAACUAUGAUGCCGUAGCAAGAAAAAUUUUGUCAUUUCAGUCACUUUGUACCACUGAUUAGUCAAACAUUUGGUAUGAAUUUUUUCAAUUAAAAGUUUUAAUUAAAUUUGCCGCUCUAAUACCGUUGUAAAAUUUCCUGGCGCAUACAACACCUUCCAUUGAUCUUCGUCUUCCCGCUAGUCAAUCAGUUUUAUUACAUUUUUUCUACCUCGUUAUACGCGUGCUGGAAUUCCAGAGUGCGAAGUAUAUUACACAGUACAAUUUUAGCUUCCAUAAUAUCGUAAUUCUAUAAUAUUGGCCUCUAAUAUGAAACUUUUGCAUAUUUGAAGGAACGUUAUUUUCAAUUUUUUAGGAAAUUGAAAUUAAGAUCUUCAGAUUAAAGUCUUAGCCUAUAAUGACUCAUAAAUGAAAGGCUGUUAACAAAUUACUUUAAUACAAUGAAAAUUAAUUUUACGAUAAAUAGAAAACCUAAUAUGAUAUGUUACCUCUUGGCUAUUAAAUAGUGUAGGAACUAAAUUGAUUUAAUAAAAGAUAUACACAUAUAGUAUACAGCUUAGUGUGAUAUGUAUUACGUAUAAAACAAUUUUUUGAUUAAAAGUAUAUAUUCUCUACGUUCAAUUUAUUCUUAUGAUCUUGCAUUCGUAUAUUUACAUACAAUAAAUAUACUAAUGUAAAAAUCAAUUGAGAUCAAAGAAAUAUAUAAGAUGUAUAUAAUAUAAAAUAUACACAUAUUAAAAAGAUGAAAAUGCACAUCAAUUAUUGAAAUAUAUAAUAUGUUAUGUUGCUGCAGAAGCCUGAGUACGGAAUAGGGAAAAUGUUAGGUCCUUUCGAAAAACUCACAAAAUUUACCAACCAAUGUCGGUAUAUGUAUGUAAGUCAGAAAUAUUAUGAAAUCAAUAUUUAUUUCGUGCUGGUACCGAAAUUAAUUAUCAAACUUCAACAUUUACUAAAUAUUGAGCUGCGGCAAAUGUCAGAGGUUUCAUUUAGGGACGUGUACGUACAUAAUCGCGAUUUUGUUUGUUUUGAUGGCAAGUGACAAGAGGAUUCUUCAGUCGGGUGACAAAGUUUACACAUGUGCGACCGCAGUAAAAGCUUUUUUGUUCCAAUUUAUAUGUUAUCAUUGCUCUUUCAUACCAUUAUUGAAGCAAAAUGAGCGUAAAGGAAAGAUUCUAUGAAUAGGAAUCUGAGUUUAUGUUGUGAAAUAGGAGCAAGUAGGAGAAUCGCGCAAGUUGCUCGCUCGAAGAGAUAUGGUCUAGAUAGAUGUUACAAUUUUAAGAUUAUGAUGUUCAUAGCUUUACAAGGCUUUAUAAGGUCAUUACAGGGUAAAAUAAAUAUCGGUAUGAAGUGUCUCUCUCAAAAUCGUACAACAUUUGGUUGAACCAUUUUUUUGUUUCAUCAAUAGUUUUCGAGUUAUUUACGUGUUUUCAGAUAAAAUGGACAUACAUAUGAUAUAAAUGUUCCACUUCAUGGUAAAUAUUGACAAAAGGGGACCCAGCUCCAAUUACUUUAACCUUGACACAUAUUGUCAAGAACACUCUACUCAGUAAUCUCCAGAAGGUUUUAGUCGUCGCUCCUUAUUCCUCAAGAAGUUAUUAACAAAAAAGAUCUAUAAAAAACAAUACAUGGUAGGUAUGUAUGUAUGGUAAAGAAGCACCACAGCGUUGCUCGCUCGUUCCACUCGCUCGUAAAAAUCUAAUCCAACCUAAUAUCAAUCCUAUACGUGAGUGGAGCGAGCGAGUGAGGAACUUUAAAAAAAGAUAUUUUUCCUUAAAAAAUGGGACUCCUUUCGCUUGCAUAUGAAAUUGAUACUAGAUUGGAUAGUAGAGUAAAUUUUUAUGAGCGAGUGGUGCGGGCGAACAACGCGUACGUUGUAAAUAUAUUUUUCUUUAAAAUAAAAGCUGAGAGAUGAACGCUAGGGAGCGACAGCUAAAAUCUUCUGGAAGUUGGUUAGGAGAGUGGUCCUUGACAAUAUGUAUCAAGGUCAAGGUUAGGAUCAUUGGAGCUGGGUCCUUUUUUGUCAAUAUUACUGAUUUACAAUUUAAGAUACGAGAAUAAUAAUAAAUAUACAAAAAUUAUUCAGAUAGUAAUUAUUCAGAAGGAAAUUUUAAAAAUAUUUGAUUAAACGUAAUUAUAGAUAAAUCUGGUUUCAACUAAGACGAACAGAAUAAAGAAUCACUGAAGAAUAUAUACUAAUUGAUUGCUAAAGUUACCAAAACAAAAGAAGACGACAUAAUAUCUCAAAUAACAUUAAGUCAACCCUAAAUAACAAGGAAAUAGUAAAACAUCCUAAAGGACAUAAACCUUUUUCAAUUAAUUUAUAAUACAAAACAACAUAGAUUGUAAUUGACUUCUAGGUGAACUUGUAGAAAUGUUCCUUCCUCUGCCAUUUCGAUGAUUUUGUAGAAUUUGAUGAUGCUAUAGAAAUCAACACUUUGAACAAUUUCUUCCUAUAAAUGUAAUCGGUGAUUGGUCUCAGUUUCCAAGACAUUCGCUAAAAUCUGUCAGUGCUGCUGCACUGUAUUUCUACUUAUAAUUUUGCGUCUGUGGCAGCAUAUGUAUCAGUUUGGUUCCUAGUUACCGGUCGAUUCAUAAACGAGUGUGGGGUGAGCUUAAAGCCCCCGCACAUAACUGAACAUGACAAAAAAUGUCUAUUAUAAUAUAUAAUUAUUAUAUUAUUAUGUAAUAUAUUAUAAUAUAUUCAAUUAAAAAUAUAUCAUAUAUAAAUAUACAGGGUGUUUGGUAACUGGUGGUACAAACGGAAAGGGAGUGAUUCUACGCGGAAAAAAAAGUCGAAAAUAUAGAAUAAAAAUUUUUCGUUUGAGGUUUUGUUUUCGAGAAAAUCGACUUUGAAUUUUCGCUCGGUACGUGUGUACUUUAUCACGUCUCGUUGUCUCGAUGGAAAAAUUAAAAAAAAAAAAAAUUUUAUUGUAUA